rnacentral:rRNA from 1 species
AUCUGCAGUCGAGCGGACUUAAAAAGCUUGCUUUUUAAGUUAGCGGCGGACGGGUGAGUAACACGUGGGCAACCUGCCUGUAAGACUGGGAUAACUUCGGGAAACCGGAGCUAAUACCGGAUAAUCCUUUUCUACUCAUGUAGAAAAGCUGAAAGACGGUUUACGCUGUCACUUACAGAUGGGCCCGCGGCGCAUUAGCUAGUUGGUGAGGUAACGGCUCACCAAGGCGACGAUGCGUAGCCGACCUGAGAGGGUGAUCGGCCACACUGGGACUGAGACACGGCCCAGACUCCUACGGGAGGCAGCAGUAGGGAAUCUUCCGCAAUGGACGAAAGUCUGACGGAGCAACGCCGCGUGAGUGAUGAAGGUUUUCGGAUCGUAAAACUCUGUUGUUAGGGAAGAACAAGUACGAGAGUAACUGCUCGUACCUUGACGGUACCUAACCAGAAAGCCACGGCUAACUACGUGCCAGCAGCCGCGGUAAUACGUAGGUGGCAAGCGUUGUCCGGAAUUAUUGGGCGUAAAGCGCGCGCAGGCGGUCCUUUAAGUCUGAUGUGAAAGCCCACGGCUCAACCGUGGAGGGUCAUUGGAAACUGGGGGACUUGAGUGCAGAAGAGAAGAGUGGAAUUCCACGUGUAGCGGUGAAAUGCGUAGAGAUGUGGAGGAACAACAGUGGCGAAGGCGACUCUUUGGUCUGUAACUGACGCUGAGGCGCGAAAGCGUGGGGAGCAAACAGGAUUAGAUACCCUGGUAGUCCACGCCGUAAACGAUGAGUGCUAAGUGUUAGAGGGUUUCCGCCCUUUAGUGCUGCAGCAAACGCAUUAAGCACUCCGCCUGGGGAGUACGGCCG